AGAGUUUGAUCCUGGCUCAGGAUGAACGCUGGCGGCGUGCCUAACACAUGCAAGUCGAGCGAUUUACUUCGGUAAAGAGCGGCGGACGGGUGAGUAACGCGUGGGUAACCUGCCUCAUACACAUGGAUAACAUACCGAAAGGUAUGCUAAUACAGGAUAAUAUAAGAGAUUCGCAUGGAUUUCUUAUCAAAGCUCCGGCG
rnacentral:rRNA from 1 species